UGCAUAAAAAAUAUAAAAGAAAUAAUAGAAAAGGUAAGGGUCCCCAUGUAAUAUCUAAGAAAUUGUAGGAACAUGUCCCUCUAAUAGAACCUUAAGAUAGGUAUCAAUUCACUAGAAUGAUCUAGGUGGUACAAUGGAUAAAAUUAUUGGAUAUGUCCUCAUAGAGAAAGUCUUCUAAUGUUUGAAGUUGUGGGGCCCAU
rnacentral:lncRNA from 1 species